CGUACGUGUUGUACGAUUCUUCGUAUUGUUUGGCUAAACAUGUGGACAUAUAAAAUGUUUUUUACUCUCUUCACACACGUUUGCAUGAUCAGCCCUGAUCACAUGCUGCAACGCUUUGAUGGCUUCUGCGGCGUCACCUUGAUCCAAGUACUGCAGACCUAAUUGGAGCCAAGCCCAUUUCGGCCCAUUAUCUUGCAUGCAAAAGAACUGUUGUGCUUACGGUGUUUUUAAGAAGUCGAUAAGUUGUGCUUAGUCCGACACCAGCUUCCUCGGAAAACGGAUUAAUUUGCA